ensembl:processed_transcript
AGACGGGUUCCAGGUUCCACCGUGGCGCUCCAGAGCGCCGCGCUUCUCGGGCGCACCUCUUCUCUGCCCUCUGUCACCUCAUACCCGUCAGUCCGCUCAGGACUGAUGAACCAAGUACUUUCUGAUGGAGACCGAGUUGGUCGAUGAGGCAGAGCUCAGGGGUUACCUAGUUGGGGCCAGGGUAAGGGAACAAAUGGAAAGAACGGUUCGUAAAUCUUUAAACAGCUCUUAGAGGUUAUUUGCAAGAAUAAUUCCUAAGCAUCGGAAAUGCUGGGACAUUCUUGUGUGGGAGAAGUGUGCACACAACAAACAUAUCUUUCAGAAAGUCGAAAUGAGAUAGAUGGGAGAAAGUAGCAAUGGCAGGUUGCAAUGAAGAUACCGGGGCUUAGUUAAGCAAAGCAGUCGUGUUAAGGAAGACUAUUACGGCAUUAUUACUCUUGGACAAGGUGCAUAGCUUUUCCCAUUGAUAAUGGGAAAUGGUUAUGUCUGUGUGUUAGUGCGCAAGCAUUAUGCUCAAGGAGGAGAAAAGUUUAGCAUAAAAAGCCCAUGGAGUUUUAGACUUCAACCGAAUUCUUCCACAAGUGCAUCAUCUUAGAAUAUAAAACACAGUCCUGGAUGACUGUAACCCCCAAAUUCAAGAAAAGGCAAAUUCAGAAAAUAGCACCUACAGAAAGAACUACUGACAUACCCAAAAAGAGCUUUAACAUCAAAGGUAAUUUGUACUGGCUGAGCGCCCUGGCUUUGGAACAUUGUGAUCUAGCGAUGUGCCUCUGGGCAUGGGUUCAUCACUGGAGAAAUGAAAGUUGGAAGAGAAGACAAGGAUGCUCACCCUCCCAAAGAGUGGUAAAGAUUAAGUUAAAAAAUACUAUAUCACAAAAAAAUAGGUGAUAUAGUAGUUGUCCCAGGCGGUCCUGACCACUUUUAUAACAAAAGGAGUUGUGUCCAUCCGCGCACACCAUCUCAAAUACAUGCACAUACUGAACUUUGGGCUAAGUCAAGACAACGCCCUUUGUCGAAACAGGAAGCAGCUGUCUCCAAAUAUAAAGAGGGCUGCAGGGGCCUGGUCUCUGCAUCUUCCAACUCUACAGCAGGGCCUGGAGAGACGAAGGCGAAGCAAACUAGAAAGUGCUCGCUCGGCCCUGGUCGCCGGAGGACACAGGUUCUAGACCUGAAUUUAGGGUCGCAGACUUGCGGUGCUAACUCCUGAGGGUUCCCAGGGUUUCCCGCUCGCUUUCACAGACCACCACAAGCUUAAGACCGAGAAUCACUUCCCAGGAUGGCCUGGGAUACUCAGUGAUGAACCCACGGUGACCUGGUGCUUCCUGCCCCGAGACCUGACAGCCUCAACACUCUGGGUAAAGUAAAUUAAAAACCCGGACGACUGGAGUCUUUGAGAAUGAAAACGACAUCGGGAUUCCAGACAGCUGACUCGCUCAGAGCUCCGACUGGGUGUACGCAAGGCGAGUAAAGCCAACUCCUACAACGACACGUCACCGUACUGGGCCGCUUCUUGGCUGGUGGGCGGGGCGACCCCUACUUCCGGAUCCGGCCUCUUCUGGGUAACGCCUCACCUGCGGUUCCCUAGGUUACCUGAUGGCGGGAGGGGGCGGGGCGAAGCGUUCCAACUCUGGGUAGCCAGCUCCUGGUUGGUGAGGCUCUUCCCGACUAGAUUAAAGGGAAACCUCUGCGUUCUCACAUAUAUGAUAACGCAACUUUUUUCAGACUACUGAUAACUCUGACUGGAGCAAAACCUGAGGAAUAUGUUUUUUUCUAUGUUCCACACGGCAUUUGACAAUUCGGAGAAGCUGAGGAAAAAGAGGGCUUUUUUGUUUGUUUUUUUUUUUCCAACAGGGUAGAGAAACCUGGCUGUCCUGGAACUCACUCUGUAGACCAGGAUGGCCUCGAACUCAGUAAUCCACCUGCCUCUGCCUCCCAAGUGCUGGGAUUAAAGGCGUGCGCCACCACUGCCCAGCGAAAAGGGCUUCUUUGGUUUGGUUUGAUUUUUGUUUUUUGUUUUUUUUAUUAACCGUGGAUAUGGAUGACGAAAACGGUCAGAUGAGCAAUGAACAAUUCAAUAUACGCUGACCUUUAUACUCAAAAUGGUUAAGAUGAUAAAUUUUAUUAUGUAUGAUUUGCCACAGUGAAAAUCGAAAAUUCUCCCCCCACACACACACACACUUUUCUGCUGAAAUAAUUUAGAUGUCUGUUUUUCUGAGUUUCUCACACUAUAUGAAUGAGAUGGCCAGAUUUAACAAAUAUACAGGUACCCAUUAAUGUUUUAAUUUCAGAUGCUCAAUCAAAUAAUACACAGGAAAUACAAGUAUAUUACUUGGCCAUCCUACACAUGGGUGGAGGGUAAACUGAUAGGAAAGUGCCUUAUACUAGAAAAGAACGUGCAUUGAUUUUACUAGCUAUGUGCCUGUAAAUGAAAGAGUCUUUGAGAUUUUCUUUAGAAGGGAAAGAAAAUCUAGAUCUUCAUUUCCUGACAGUAUAUCAUCAAUGACAGGUCAGAAUAUCAUACCCAAAAUAUUCCAUUUGGGCAUAAAAGACAACACUGCGUUAAAGGCAGCAGAAAACUAGUGUGCACAAGAUGGUCCUCUUUUGUGUCUAAGCAGAAUAGAGAUUUGCCUUUAUAGAAGUAGGGGGAGAGCCUGCUGGGCAAGGCCUGCAACCACAUCUCCUUAGGAGGUUGAGACGAGGAUCACAAGUUGAAGACCUGCCUAAGGUGCAGAUCCCUGAGUCUGAGAACAGCUUGGGAAACUUAAUGAAACUGUGUCUCAAGAAGUUUUAAAAAAAAAGGUGGGGGUCUUAGUGUAUAGUGUUGACCUAGCAUGUGUUAGGUCCAUGAUUAUUUGAAUCAGAAGCACCCACCCCACCAACUAAAAAGACUUGAAACAAUACUAAAAAAAAAAAAAUUAUGAUAAACUGUAGCAAUCAACUCUAAUCUACCACACAUUUCCUCAUUGCUGCCCCACUGUACUGCCUGUGGAUCAAAACCUGUUUAAACUAGUCACCUCUAUACAAUGCAUGGCUGCUGUUAAAACAGGAAAUGUCCCUG